rnacentral:rRNA from 1 species
CAUGGCUCAGAUUGAACGCUGGCGGCAGGCCUAACACAUGCAAGUCGAACGGUAACAGGAAGAGCUUGCUUCUUUGCUGACGAGUGGCGGACGGGUGAGUAAUGUCUGGGAAACUGCCUGAUGGAGGGGGAUAACUACUGGAAACGGUAGCUAAUACCGCAUAACGUCGCAAGACCAAAGAGGGGGACCUUCGGGCCUCUUGCCAUCGGAUGUGCCCAGAUGGGAUUAGCUAGUAGGUGGGGUAACGGCUCACCUAGGCGACGAUCCCUAGCUGGUCUGAGAGGAUGACCAGCCACACUGGAACUGAGACACGGUCCAGACUCCUACGGGAGGCAGCAGUGGGGAAUAUUGCACAAUGGGCGCAAGCCUGAUGCAGCCAUGCCGCGUGUAUGAAGAAGGCCUUCGGGUUGUAAAGUACUUUCAGCGGGGAGGAAGGGAGUAAAGUUAAUACCUUUGCUCAUUGACGUUACCCGCAGAAGAAGCACCGGCUAACUCCGUGCCAGCAGCCGCGGUAAUACGGAGGGUGCAAGCGUUAAUCGGAAUUACUGGGCGUAAAGCGCACGCAGGCGGUUUGUUAAGUCAGAUGUGAAAUCCCCGGGCUCAACCUGGGAACUGCAUCUGAUACUGGCAAGCUUGAGUCUCGUAGAGGGGGGUAGAAUUCCAGGUGUAGCGGUGAAAUGCGUAGAGAUCUGGAGGAAUACCGGUGGCGAAGGCGGCCCCCUGACGAAGACCU